GGAGAGAUGGCUGAGUGGUCGAAAGCGACCGCCUCGAAAGCGGUUAUUCCGGGUAACCGGAAUCGGGGGUUCGAAUCCCCCUCUCUCCA
rnacentral:tRNA from 1 species